rnacentral:rRNA from 1 species
AGAGUUUGAUCCUGGCUCAGGAUGAACGCUAGCGACAGGCUUAACACAUGCAAGUCGAGGGGCAGCGGGGGUAGCAAUACCCGCCGGCGACCGGCGCACGGGUGAGUAACGCGUAUGCAACUUACCUAUCAGAGGGGGAUAACCCGGCGAAAGUCGGACUAAUACCGCAUGAAGCAGGGAUCCCGCAUGGGAAUAUUUGCUAAAGAUUCAUCGCUGAUAGAUAGGCAUGCGUUCCAUUAGGCAGUUGGCGGGGUAACGGCCCACCAAACCGACGAUGGAUAGGGGUUCUGAGAGGAAGGUCCCCCACAUUGGUACUGAGACACGGACCAAACUCCUACGGGAGGCAGCAGUGAGGAAUAUUGGUCAAUGGCCGAGAGGCUGAACCAGCCAAGUCGCGUGAGGGAUGAAGGUUCUAUGGAUCGUAAACCUCUUUUAUAAGGGAAUAAAGUGCGGGACGUGUCCCGUUUUGUAUGUACCUUAUGAAUAAGGAUCGGCUAACUCCGUGCCAGCAGCCGCGGUAAUACGGAGGAUCCGAGCGUUAUCCGGAUUUAUUGGGUUUAAAGGGUGCGUAGGCGGCCUUUUAAGUCAGCGGUGAAAGUCUGUGGCUCAACCAUAGAAUUGCCGUUGAAACUGGGGGGCUUGAGUAUGUUUGAGGCAGGCGGAAUGCGUGGUGUAGCGGUGAAAUGCAUAGAUAUCACGCAGAACCCCGAUUGCGAAGGCAGCCUGCCAAGCCAUGACUGACGCUGAUGCACGAAAGCGUGGGGAUCAAACAGGAUUAGAUACCCUGGUAGUCCACGCAGUAAACGAUGAUCACUAGCUGUUUGCGAUACACUGUAAGCGGCACAGCGAAAGCGUUAAGUGAUCCACCUGGGGAGUACGCCGGCAACGGUGAAACUCAAAGGAAUUGACGGGGGCCC